UACGUAGGGGGCAAGCGUUGUCCGGAUUUAUUGGGCGUAAAGAGCGUGUAGGCGGUUUGGUAGGUCCGCUGUGAAAACUCGAGCUCAACCUCGAGACGCCGGUGGAAACCAUCAGGCUAGAGUCCGGAAGAGGAGAGUGGAAUUCCUGGUGUAGCGGUGGAAUGCGCAGAUAUCAGGAGGAACACCAAUGGCGAAGGCAGAUCUCUGGGCCGUAACUGACGCUGAGGAGCGAAAGCAUGGGGAGCGAACAGG
rnacentral:rRNA from 1 species